UAUCCCCAAAAAUUAGGGUUUUCUCCUCUCUUUUUUAAUUUUUUCGUCCCCCUCCGUCUGACAAACUCCUCCCUUUUUAUCCCUGCAGCUUAGGGUUUCAAAGGUCUCUAGAGCUCAAAGAAGGAAAUGCCAAAACACUUUUUUGUGUUCAGUACUGGAUUGGCCCUCUUUGAAGCUGCAAUUCGGAAAGGUACUCUUAAAGCAAGCUUUCUCUAAUCGCUUUUGCCUUAAUCCCAAAUUGGGAAAUUUCUGGAUUUUAAUGCUUUGCUGUUAAUCUUUUGUUACCGCAGUGAAAAAGGUUGCAAUGGUGAAAACGUGAUUUGGUUUGGUCUUUGCAGGUUAUGGCUGGUUAUUCGGCAUCACAGAUGCUUCACUUUUGUACCUACUCCGCCAACGGACCCGAGCGGUUGAUGGAUCAUAACUUUAGAAUUUGGCAUACAAUAUCUCUUCCCUUUUGUUCCUGCAGCAGGGAGAAAUGCACCCAUGGAUGCUGCAAGUCCCAAGCAAACUGUUGACACGUCUGCGUUGCAUAACUUCAUGGCAUCAUAAAUUCCCAUUCCAGCAGUAACAGAACCACCAGGUUACAUCAUCCAUCUGAGAACCCAAAAAGGCAAAUCUUUGACGGAGAAACAUGUUGGUAGUGUCAAGAGUGUCGUUAGCAGUCAGACUAGCGAGAGCAUCUAUUUUGGUGAAGUGUUUUGCAGGUUCAAAGAAAAUCACGACUUGUGCCCAAAUGUGCUUUAAGGCAUAGUUCACUUGCAGGUAUGCAUCAUAUUGAUCCUGCAUGCAUUGAUUCAUGCAGUCUUGGUUUGCCUAGGCAUUUCUGACUGGACAUGCUCAGCAUUUCAUGGUUUCCUUUGCAGCUUGACAUAAAUGCCGGAAAAAGAUGCAGGGUCAUGUACUGUCAUUCCCAUUGAACAAUUUACUGUCAACAUCUUAGUUGGAACUCCAGUUAUGUCUGACCCUUCCUUACACUUUUAUGUGAUUUUUCCUUUUAUUUCUACUAAUAAAUCUUUGAAUCUUCAUUUGGCAUUUGGUUUUGGGUACUGCUGCUGAUGAUGGAGCUGGAAGCAUUCCAACAGAACUUUGCGGAAGACCGGCAGUCCUUGUUGGAUAGAUGAUGGUUUGAAGAACGGUGCAUCCGCUUUGAUCCACAAUGAUUUCCACCGUUGAAUGAAAAGUUGGCGGAACUAAUCCGACAUUGCAGGGCAUAAACGGUUGAAAAGAGUUUUAUCUGCUUGUGUUAAUUCAUGGAAAGUCCGGAUUGCUUUAGGUAAUAUCCUCUCUGAUUCACAUUUCUUUUUUUCACUUUCUGCUGUUUUCUUCAUUUCAAACUCUAGCUGUUUGCAGUUUUCUUCGUGGGCUUUGUUGCACAUUUGAGUGAAGUUGAGCAAAGCUGUGACAACUUAUUCGAAUAGACGGCGGGAUGGAUCUUCGCCAAAAUAAAGAAUUAAUGCGUCCACGUUCCUGCCCACCCAUGAAUAUAGUGAAGCCAAUGAGCGGACUUCAACUUCAGCAGAACAAAGGAAGUCUUUCAAUUCCUUGCGGAACUUUUCUGAUAUAGGACCAUCAUUUUCAGAAGUGGAUAAUUCCUGUACAAUUUUCUCUAACCCUUUGUUGCAUUUGAUUUUGGCAGUGAAUUUCCAAUGUCAGAGGGAGCUUUUCUUGGUGGUGGGGCAGCAAAUACAGGAAUUGCAACCACAUCCAAUUUUGGCAAGGUGUAAGGAGUGUCGAAGUAACCCUUGUAUAGUCCCAAAGUUUUCACAGCAACAUCAAGUGCAAAUUUCCUUUGGUUUGCCUUGUCGAGUAACAAUUGGAUUAGUUUGGGAUUUUGGUCUGUUUAUGGCACUCAAUGCUCUCACAUCACGGCUUAUACGGUACGAGACCCCAUGGAUCAAGCUUCUUUCUUCGAACUCUUCCGGAUUGCAAGACCACGAAUCCUCUUCCAACAUGACCAUUCAAAAUAAGUUCUGCUGACUGCUAUUACCUAUUGUCCGGCAGCAGUCGCCGAGCAUACCCGAGCCUGCUCCAAGUUGUGAACGUAACUCUGAAGUGUUCGAGCAAGAACUCUCUUCUGCAAGUUGCCGUCAAACAAAUAGUGUUGAGCCUCAAGCAAUGACUCCAUAACAGUUUUUUUGGGUUGUCCGAUUUCAAAUCGGCAGCAUAAUAGUCGCCCUUUGAAAAGUCACUUCUUGUGUAGUAAAGCCAACAAGCAGAAGCCAUACCAUCUCUACCACAUCUUCCACUUUCCUGGUAGUAGGACUCUAGAUUUUUUUGACAGCCAUAAUGAAUCACUUUUCUUAUAUUAGGUUUAUCUAUGCCCAUGCCAAAGGCAAUUGUAGCUGCCAUGACUUGCUUUUCAUAUCUAAUAAAUAAUCAAUGAGACUCCUCUCGUGAUCUCUCAUCCAUUUGCCCAUGGUACAUUCCGGCAUUAAUACCGACUUCCAUAAGUGACUUAUAUAUCUGCUCUACACCUUUGAUUGUUGUGCAGUAAAUUAUAGUUGAACAAACAUUAGCAACUUCUUUUGAAAUUUCUUCCAUAAGCUCAUCAAUAAAAUAUUGUCUUCGGUUAAAUUGCUUGACACCAUAGAAAAGAUUUGGGCGAUCAAAUGAACCAAAAGCAAUGUAAGGAUUAUUCAACUUCAAGGAAUUGGUGAUGUCAAACUGUACCUAUUCAGUAGCCACUGCAGUUAGACCAAUCAUAAGGAACAUCUAACAGAACACCACGUAACUUGUCUAACGGCUUGUAUUCUACCCUAAAGUCAUGCCCCCAUUCUGAUAUACAAUGUGCUUCAUCAACAGCAAAAAGACUAAUUCCUUCCUUUAGCGAGUUGGACCAGAAACUUGUAGGAAUUGUGCAUGCCUUGUUACGCUUAAAUGUUAAAUGAAAAUGUAUGAAAAUAAGUUCGGAAAUAACUGAAAGUUUAAUGUUACUGAAUGUCAUGAAAUG